rnacentral:rRNA from 1 species
CCUACGGGAGGCAGCAGUGGGGAAUAUUGGGCAAUGGGCGCAAGCCUGACCCAGCAAUGCCGCGUGAAGGAAGAAGGCUUUCGGGUUGUAAACUUCUUUGACAGGGGAAGAGCAGAAGACGGUACCCUGAAAACAAGCCACGGCUAACUACGUGCCAGCAGCCGCGGUCAUACGUAGGAUCCGAGCAUUAUCCGGAGUGACUGGGUGUAAAGAGUUGCGUAGGUGGCAUAAUAAGUAGCUAGUGAAAUCUGGUGGCUCAACCAUUCAGACUAUUAGCUAAACUGUUAAGCUCGAGACCGUUAGGGGUAACUGGAAUUUCUAGUGUAGGAGUGAAAUCCGUAGAUAUUAGAAGGAACACCAAUAGCGUAGGCAGGUUACUGGGACGGUUCUGACACUAAGGCACGAAAGCGUAGGGAGCAAACGGGAUUAGAUACCCUAGUAGUC